UACGUAGGUGGCAAGCGUUAUUCGGAAUCACUAGGCGUAAAGCGCAGGUAGGCGGUUUAGUAAGUCUGUUGUGAAAGCUCCCGGCUUAACUGGGAGAGGUCAACGGAAACUGCUAGGCUAGAGUGCGGUAGAGGUAGCUGGAAUUCCCGGUGUAGCGGUGAAAUGCGUAGAUAUCGGGAGGAAUACCUGUGGCGAAAGCAGGCUACUGGACAGUCACUGACUCUGAUCUGCGAAAGCUAGGGGAGCAAACAGG
rnacentral:rRNA from 1 species